GAUAAGAUACCACAUUAAGCUAUCGUCCUCGCUUUACGACUUACAAAUACACGCAUAAGAGUGUAGAGAGGUGUUAACUACCUGGCAAGAUAUUGGCCUGUUUGUGUGUGUGGUGCCAUCCUGGUGAGGAGCAACACGUGCCAAUGGUCAUGUUGGUGUGGGUGUCCUUGCUGUUUCUAGCACAACCCUCCUGCGCUAUCAUGGAAAGAGGUGGUAGUUCAUGGUCUGAGUACAGCCUAGUGGUGGCGCCAGUGCUGCUCUUCAUGGUGGUGGUGUACCUGGAGGCCACCAGACGACCCAACCAUUACGACUACCCAGCUGCCAUUACCGUCUAUGACUACAACUAGCCGCCCGGAGACCAUAAGGCUACAAUCACUGCCUGUGACAGUAACUAUACCGUCCUUUACUGGAGGCAAAACCUCAAGCCGCAGCCUGACCCGGCUCGACAGCACUACUGUUAACAAGAACAGGGAGGAUCCUUCGUCACUCGUAAAUUAACAACAAACUCAUGUGAAUAAAGAAAUAAAUCUAAAAAAAAUAUUGUAAAAAUCGGAUAUCUAAAACAACAAUCAAGUACUCUGAACAUUUAUUCAGGUAAGCGAUUUGAGAAACAUGUAAUUUGAAGUAAUAUUGGCCAGCAGGUGAAUUUGUUUGUUUGUUCCUACUUAAACGUUUAAAACUGUUGCGUGUAGUAGUUCUAUUUAAAUUACAUUAUCGCAUAAUUAACUCAUACCGAAGCAUUGUUUUGAGGCUUCAACUGUAUGCUUCAUGAAAAUGUUCAGCGCGUAUUUGUU